UACGGGGGGGGCAAGCGUUGUUCGGAAUUACUGGGCGUAAAGGGUUUGUAGGUGGCCAACUAAGUCAGACGUGAAAUCCCUCAGCUUAACUGGGGAACUGCGUCUGAGACUGGAUGGCUUGAGUACAGAAGAGGAAAGCGGAAUUCCACGUGUAGCGGUGAAAUGCGUAGAGAUGUGGAGGAACACCAGUGGCGAAGGCGGCUUUCUGGUCUGUAACUGACGCUGAGGCGCGAAAGCGUGGGGAGCAAACAGG
rnacentral:rRNA from 1 species